CUUAUCGUGCCCGAUUUCUGACUCUCCUUCAACUCCGCUUCCGUUUCUGCUCUUGAAUUUCGCCAUGAAACUGAGCUCGUUAACCGCAACACAAAUCUGUUCCACGCUGGAAACCGUAUCGAUCAUCGCCGCGGCAACAGGACUGAGAAGAGCUCUGGAAAGUUGAAGCGUGAAGAAAUAAGAGCAGAAAACCACCAGUUGGACUGGGGAGGAGAUGAUGGGGGCAGUGUGCUAAAAUGCGCCAUUAUGAUUAACCAAUGAGAGGUAGGUGAUGGAAACAGGCCUUGAGUUUGGAUGGAAUUGCCUUGGUUGCCACUGAGGUAGGCGUAGGGGGUGG